rnacentral:rRNA from 1 species
GAUGAACGCUGGCGGCGUGCCUAAUACAUGCAAGUCGAGCGAACAGACGAGGAUCUUGCUCCUCUGACGUUAGCGGCGGACGGGUGAGUAACACGUGGAUAACCUACCUAUAAGACUGGGAUAACUUCGGGAACCCGGAGCUAAUACCGGAUAAUAUAUUCAACCGCAUGGUUCAAUAGUGACAGACGGUUUUGCUGUCACUUAUAGAUGGAUCCGCGCCGCAUUAGCUAGUUGGUAAGGUAACGGCUUACCAAGGCAACGAUGCGUAGCCGACCUGAGAGGGUGAUCGGCCACACUGGAACUGAGACACGGUCCAGACUCCUACGGGAGGCAGCAGUAGGGAAUCUUCCGCAAUGGGCGAAAGCCUGACGGAGCAACGCCGCGUGAGUGAUGAAGGUCUUCGGAUCGUAAAACUCUGUUAUUAGGGAAGAACAAAUGUGUAAGUAACUAUGCACGUCUUGACGGUACCUAAUCAGAAAGCCACGGCUAACUACGUG